GGCAAUACAUGCAAGUCGAACGCUUCUUUCCUCCCGAGUGCUUGCACUCAUUUGGAAAGAGGAGUGGCGGACGGGUGAGUAACACGUGGGUAACCUACCCAUCAGAGGGGGAUAACACUUGGAAACAGGUGCUAAUACCGCAUAACAGUUUAUGCCGCAUGGCAUAAGAGUGAAAGGCGCUUUCGGGUGUCGCUGAUGGAUGGACCCGCGGUGCAUUAGCUAGUUGGUGAGGUAACGGCUCACCAAGGCCACGAUGCAUAGCCGACCUGAGAGGGUGAUCGGCCACACUGGGACUGAGACACGGCCCAGACUCCUACGGGAGGCAGCAGUAGGGAAUCUUCGGCAAUGGACGAAAGUCUGACCGAGCAACGCCGCGUGAGUGAAGAAGGUUUUCGGAUCGUAAAACUCUGUUGUUAGAGAAGAACAAGGACGUUAGUAACUGAACGUCCCCUGACGGUAUCUAACCAGAAAGCCACGGCUAACUACGUGCCAGCAGCCGCGGUAAUACGUAGGUGGCAAGCGUUGUCCGGAUUUAUUGGGCGUAAAGCGAGCGCAGGCGGUUUCUUAAGUCUGAUGUGAAAGCCCCCGGCUCAACCGGGGAGGGUCAUUGGAAACUGGGAGACUUGAGUGCAGAAGAGGAGAGUGGAAUUCCAUGUGUAGCGGUGAAAUGCGUAGAUAUAUGGAGGAACACCAGUGGCGAAGGCGGCUCUCUGGUCUGUAACUGACGCUGAGGCUCGAAAGCGUGGGGAGCAAACAGGAUUAGAUACCCUGGUAGUCCACGCCGUAAACGAUGAGUGCUAAGUGUUGGAGGGUUUCCGCCCUUCAGUGCUGCAGCAAACGCAUUAAGCACUCCGCCUGGGGAGUACGACCGCAAGGUUGAAACUCAAAGGAAUUGACGGGGGCCCGCACAAGCGGUGGAGCAUGUGGUUUAAUUCGAAGCAACGCGAAGAACCUUACCAGGUCUUGACAUCCUUUGACCACUCUAGAGAUAGAGCUUUCCCUUCGGGGACAAGUGACAGUGGUGCAUGGUUGUCCUCACCCCCUGUCCUGAAAUGUUGGGUUAAGUCCCGCAACAACGCAACCCUUAUUGUUAUUUCCAUCAUUUAUUUGGGCAUCUACCGAAACUGCCGGUAAAAACCCGAAGAAAGUGGGGAUGAGUCAAACCACAGGCCCUUAAACCUGG
rnacentral:rRNA from 1 species